UACGUAGGGUGCAAGCGUUGUCCGGAAUUAUUGGGCGUAAAGAGCUCGUAGGCGGUCUGUCACGUCGGCUGUGAAAACCCGAGGCUCAACCUCGGGCCUGCAGUCGAUACGGGCAAACUAGAGUACUGCAGGGGAGACUGGAAUUCCUGGUGUAGCGGUGGAAUGCGCAGAUAUCAGGAGGAACACCGGUGGCGAAGGCGGGAUCCUGGGCCAGUACUGACGCUGAGGAGCGAAAGCGUGGGGAGCAAACAGG
rnacentral:rRNA from 1 species